CCCGAUGGCAGAGGGCUUGCUCAGCUCAAAGCCAGAAAGAACUGGACUUGCUCUACUGAAACAGUGAAGAAGAGAGGCUGGAAAGGUCAAACGCCAGAAGGAAUGAGGAUUGCUGGGCCCAAAGCCGGAAGGAAAGGUCCUUGCUGGGCUGGAAUGAAUAGAGAAGGGUUUUGCUGCUCCUAAGCCCAGAAGGAAGAGGGCUUGUAAGACCAUACCCAGAAGAAAGGGGGAGUGCUGGGCAACAAACCAGAAGGAAGGGGGCUUGCUGGACUCAAACCCAGAAGGAAGGGGCUUGCUGGUCCAUACCCAGAAAGAAGUGGGUGUGCUGCGCCACAAAGCAACAAGAAGAACCAGCAGUGGCAGCAACGAUGUCGAGACAACGACUUUCACAGGCAUGAGAAGUAAUGGAGAUGUGCACAGUUCUUCCAGCCGCUGUGCAAAGAGCGAAUCCAAACCAGCGCUCUUCUUUACAAGUCCCUUCAUGCUGUGAGGUUUCUGCCAACGGUGGGUGUGCUUACAACAGAGACAUGAGUUUUCUUUCAUUGUUAUUUUGUUCCAGGCGUGUACCUGGACAGAGCCCAGCAGUUCCAUGAUACCAUUGUGUCCGUGAUGCUUUCCUAGUGAAGGGAGUUUCACCUGGGUGAUACCUCCUUGUACAGCCAAAUGCACUGAA